rnacentral:rRNA from 1 species
UGCUUGCACCGGGUGGAUGAGUGGCGAACGGGUGAGUAAUACGUGAGUGACCUGCCUUUGACUCUGGGAUAAGCCUGGGAAACUGGGUCUAAUACCGGAUGCGACUACUGCCCGCAUGGGCUGGUGGUGGAAAGGGUUAUGUACUGGUCUUAGAUGGGCUCACGGCCUAUCAGCUGGUUGGUGGGGUAAUGGCCUACCAAGGCGACGACGGGUAGCCGGCCUGAGAGGGUGACCGGCCACACUGGGACUGAGACACGGCCCAGACUCCUACGGGAGGCAGCAGUGGGGAAUAUUGCACAAUGGGCGCAAGCCUGAUGCAGCGACGCCGCGUGAGGGAUGACGGCCUUCGGGUUGUAAACCUCUUUCAGCAGGGAAGAAGCGGAAGUGACGGUACCUGCAGAAGAAGCGCCGGCUAACUACGUGCCAGCAGCCGCGGUAAUACGUAGGGCGCAAGCGUUGUCCGGAAUUAUUGGGCGUAAAGAGCUCGUAGGCGGCUUGUCGCGUCUGCUGUGAAAGCCCGGGGCUUAACUCCGGGUGUGCAGUGGGUACGGGCAGGCUAGAGUGCAGUAGGGGUAACUGGAAUUCCUG